CAGCCGCCGCGGUAACACGAAGGGGGCUAGCGUUGUUCGGAAUUACUGGGCGUAAAGCGCACGUAGGCGGAUAUUUGAGUCAGGGGUGAAAUCCCAGAGCUCAACUCUGGAACUGCCUUUGAUACUGGGUAUCUUGAGUAUGGAAGAGGUGAGUGGAAUUCCGAGUGUAGAGGUGAAAUUCGUAGAUAUUCGGAGGAACACCAGUGGCGAAGGCGGCUCACUGGUCCAUUACUGACGCUGAGGUGCGAAAGCGUGGGGAGCAAACAGGAUUAGAUACCCCCGUAGUCCCUGUCUCUUAUAC
rnacentral:rRNA from 1 species